UCCCUGGUGGUUCAGACGGUAAAGAAUCUGCCUGCAAUGCAGAAGACCCAGAUUCAAUCCCUGGUUGGGAAG
rnacentral:tRNA from 1 species